rnacentral:rRNA from 1 species
UACGGAGGGUGCAAGCGUUAUCCGGAUUCACUGGGUUUAAAGGGUGCGUAGGCGGGUUGGUAAGUCAGUGGUGAAAUCCCCGAGCUUAACUUGGGAACUGCCAUUGAUACUAUCAGUCUUGAAUACCGUGGAGGUCAGCGGAAUAUGUCAUGUAGCGGUGAAAUGCUUAGAUAUGACAUAGAACACCAAUUGCGAAGGCAGCUGGCUACACGAAUAUUGACACUCAGGCACGAAAGCGUGGGGAUCAAACAGG